rnacentral:rRNA from 1 species
GGGGAAUAUUGGGCAAUGGGCGAAAGCCUGACCCAGCAACGCCGCGUGAAGGAUGAAGGUUUUCGGAUUGUAAACUUCUUUGAUCGGGGAAGAAUAAAGACGGUACCCGAGGAACAAGCCACGGCUAACUACGUGCCAGCAGCCGCGGUAAUACGUAGGUGGCGAGCGUUAUCCGGAAUUACUGGGUGUAAAGGGCGUGUAGGCGGGAAGACAAGUCAGAAGUGAAAUCCCAGGGCUUAACCCUGGUGCUGCUUCUGAAACUGUUUUUCUUGAGUGUCGGAGAGGAAAGUGGAAUUCCCAGUGUAGCGGUGAAAUGCGUAGAGAUUGGGAGGAACACCAGUGGCGAAGGCGGCUUUCUGGACGAUAACUGACGCUGAGGCGCGAAAGCGUGGGGAGCAAAC